GACGAACCGUGCGAACGUUGUUCGGAAUCACUGGGCUUAAAGGGCGCGUAGGCGGGCCGGUAAGUCCGGGGUGAAAUCCUGCAGCUCAACUGACAGAAGUGCCUCGGAUACUGCCGGCCUCGAGGAGGUAGGGGCAUGUGGAACUUCCGGUGGAGCGGUGAAAUGCGUAGAUAUCGGAAGGAACGCCGGUGGCGAAAGCGACGUGCUGGACCUCUACUGACGCUGAGGCGCGAAAGCCAGGGGAGGCAAACGGG
rnacentral:rRNA from 1 species